CGAGGAAUCUUGGGCAAUGGGCGAAAGCCUGACCCAGCGACGCCGCGUGAGGGAUGAAGGCCUUCGGGUCGUAAACCUCUUUUGUGAGGGAAGAAGUUCUGACGGUACCUCACGAAUAAGCCACGGCUAACUACGUGCCAGCAGCCGCGGUAAUACGUAGGUGGCAAGCGUUGUCCGGAUUUACUGGGCGUAAAGGGCUUGUAGGCGGUUCGUUAAGUCCGGUGUGAAAUCUCCCGGCUCAACUGGGAGGAGCCAUCGGAAACUGGCGAGCUAGAGGUGGGCAGAGGAAAGCGGAAUUCCCGGUGUGGCGGUGAAAUGCGUAGAUAUCGGGAGGAACACCAGUGGCGAAGGCGGCUUUCUGGGCCUAUCCUGACGCUGAGGAGCGAAAACGUGGGGAGCAAACCGG
rnacentral:rRNA from 1 species